rnacentral:lncRNA from 1 species
GGUUGUAUUGUUGUAAAAUAUAAAAGUUGGCUCAUUAAUGUAUCGAGCCGAAAAAUUCAGCGCGUGUUCAGCUCGUUAAUAAACGAGCCGAAUACGAGCUAGCUCACGAGCUGACCAACAAACAAUAAAUUAAAAAGAUUAGAUUGAAUAUAUAUAAAAAAUACAUUUAUAAAAUUUUAUCAAUUAGACUUUAAUCUAAUGGUUGAAAUUUUACCAAUAAAUGAGUCUUCUAUAAUUAAACUCGCCUUUUUAUAUUCGAAUAGUUAUGGAGUGGAACACGAGCGAGUCGAUGCCAGCUCGUGUUUGGCUCGUUUUU